rnacentral:rRNA from 1 species
GGCUUAGAGUUUGAUCAUGGCUCAGGACGAACGCUGGCGGCGCGCCUAACACAUGCAAGUCGAACGGAGUUCAUCCAGUUGAAGUUUUCGGAUGGAUACAGGGUGAACUUAGUGGCGAACGGGUGAGUAACGCGUGAGUAACCUGCCCCGAAGUGGGGGACAACAGUUGGAAACGACUGCUAAUACCGCAUAAGCCCACAGAGCCGCAUGGCUCAGAGGGAAAAGGACUUCGGUUUGCUUCGGGAUGAACUCGCGUCCAAUUAGCUAGUUGGUGAGGUAACGGCCCACCAAGGCGACGAUUGGUAGCCGGACUGAGAGGUUGAACGGCCACAUUGGGACUGAGACACGGCCCAGACUCCUACGGGAGGCAGCAGUGGGGGAUAUUGCACAAUGGGGGAAACCCUGAUGCAGCGACGCCGCGUGGAGGAAGAAGGUUUUCGGAUUGUAAACUCCUGUCGUAAGGGACGAUAAUGACGGUACCUUACAAGAAAGCCACGGCUAACUACGUGCCAGCAGCCGCGGUAAAACGUAGGUGGCAAGCGUUGUCCGGAAUUACUGGGUGUAAAGGGAGCGCAGGCGGGCUGUCAAGUUGGAAGUGAAAUCUAUGGGCUCAACCCAUAAAUUGCUUUCAAAACUGAUGGUCUUGAGUAGUGCAGAGGUAGGCG